rnacentral:rRNA from 1 species
UACAGAGGUGGCAAGCGUUGUUCGGAAUUACUGGGCGUAAAGGGCGCGUAGGCGGCCCGUCAAGUCCCGUGUGAAAGCCCCCGGCUCAACCGGGGAACGGCGCGGGAAACUAGCAGGCUUGAGUUCGGGAGAGGGAAGCGGAAUUCCGGGUGUAGCGGUGAAAUGCGCAGAUAUCCGGAGGAAUACCGGUGGCGAAGGCGGCAUCCUGGACCGGCAUUGACGCUGAGGAGCGAAAGCUAGGGGAGCAAACGGG